rnacentral:tRNA from 1 species
GGAGGAGUGGCUGAGUGGAUUAAGGCAGCGGUCUUGAAAACCGUCGAUGAUUUAUUUCAUCCGAGAGUUCGAAUCUCUCCUCCUCCG